rnacentral:rRNA from 1 species
UUUUUUGCGGAGAGUUUGAUCCUGGCUCAGGAUGAACGCUGGCGGCGUGCCUAAUACAUGCAAGUCGAACGAGGCGCUUUUUGUAGCAAUACGAGAAGUGUCCUAGUGGCGAACGGGUGAGUAACGCGUGGGUGACCUGCCCCAAAGUGUGGGAUAACAGUCCGAAAGGAUUGCUAAUACCGCAUGUGGUCUUCAAGUUUAGAAAUUGAUGACUAAAGCAGCAAUGCGCUUUGGGAGGGGCCUGCGUCCCAUCAGCUAGUUGGUGAGGUAACGGCUCACCAAGGCGACGACGGGUAGGGGACCUGAGAGGGUGGCCCCCCACAAUGGAACUGAAACACGGUCCAUACACCUACGGGUGGCAGCAGUAGGGAAUAUUGCUCAAUGGGCGAAAGCCU